ensembl:lncRNA
GUUAAAGCUAAAGAUGAUUUUCAACAUUAUUAAUUUUAACUACAAAAUUUAAUUUAAUUCUUAUUUCUGUUAAAACAAACUUCCCCAUCUUACAGGACAUCAUAAGUAUGCGGCACAUUUCAGGGUGCUUAAGUACUGCGUAAGCAAUUUGCUGCAGAAAAUAUGCAUAAGAAGGAUAGUGAAUAUAAUGGAUAAAGUAUGCUGAAACUGGAGCUUCUAUGGAGAAGGAAAAGAGAAAGACCACAGAGGAAGUUCAGGGACAUUUUUGGGAAGGCAAGGUCGCAGGGGCAGCAGCCUAAGCAGAGAAGCCCAGACCUCCCUCUCCCCAGCCACCUCCUCCAGCUUGUCUCCUCCCAGUGGGACAUGCCCAGAAUACCUCACCCAGGAGGCACCCAGGAGGCAUCCUUAUCAGAUGCCCAAACCACCUCAGCUGGCUCGUUUUGAUGUGGAGGAGCAGCGGCUCUGAGCCCCUCCCAAAUGGCUGAACUUCUCACCCUAUCUCUAAGGGAGAGGCCAGCCACCCUUUGGAGGAAGCUCAUUUCUGCUGCUUGUAUCUGCGAUCUUAUUCUUCCGGUCACUACCCACAGCUCGUGACCAUAGGUGAGAUUCUGAGACCACCCAGGUGAAAGCCUUCUGCCACUUGGCUAUGCCUAGAAAUUCUGUCCAUAAAGAUUAUGAACAGAAUCAGUGACAAAGGGAAGGCCUGGCAGAGUCCAUCACCCACCAGAAACGGUCCGACUUAUUGCCAGGAUAUAAGGAUCGAAUGGCCCGUUUGUAAAAGCCCAAAAUAAAAUGCAUGAUUUCAAACUUGUCAGUCUUACAGUCUUAAUAUUUUUGAGUGUCCAAAUGAUAACGAGAAAGAUUUAUUUCACAUCAAUUUUUGAAACUGCUUAUUUAAUUCAUGGUUGUAGGAGGGUAGAACCUAUGCCAACUGUCAUGGGACAAAUGAUUCAUUUUGAUUUUAGUGCUAAAGGAAAAAAAAUUCUUAAAAACUGCUGAAAAUGUUACAUUUUCAAUUGUCUGUACAGAUGGACAUUACUUGUGCUAUCCUAUUAGCUGGGAUGAUGUUGCAAAAUUAAAAGACACAAAUGCCAAACUGAAAAAAGAUACAUAACUUGUGAUUUCCAUGAUGUUUUACAGUAUUGUUUAAGUAUUUUACUAAUAUUUCUAAAGCUCCUUUUUAAGGGUUAAGAAAUAAUUUCAUGUUCUUGUUUUUAAUUAAUGUUUGAAAACAACUCACCUCUCCAUCCGAGUUAUUAUAGGCUCGGAUGAGCCCAUGCCUUGCAAAAUUUGAUUGUAUUUACGAAUGUAUAAUUUCAAAAUUAAAGGGAGAACAGUUCUUAUUACUAUCAUUUUUCUAUUUAAUAUAACACACCGUUGAAUAGCCUACAGACCAAGAAAGACAAUUCCUUGAACAUCAUGUGUCAUCAAUGAGACCUUGUACACACGUGUGUCUUUCCAAAUUAUGUCCAAUCACCUGAGGUUACCACAGCAGGACAGCAGGAAGUUUUACAGAUUGAUGAUUAAUGGAAACAGGAUCUACCUGAGCUCAGUUUUGAUUGUCAUAGCAAUGGUUGUAAGUAC